CUAACCCCUUAGGAAAUUUUCGGGUUUUCAGAUUUUUUUUAUUUUUUUCUUAUUUUUUAUGUUUUCUUCUAUUUAAAGCAUUAUUUGAGUGAAAAGAAACUUAUUGCAACCAAUUCGCAUCAAAAUAAAUCAAUUUAAUUUUUUUUGUAAAAUUUCUCAAAAAAAUGGCAAGGGGUAAGCCUUAUGAAAUUUUCGAGUUGAAAUUUUUUUAAAAUUUUUUUUUCAAUUUUUUAUUCUUUUUCGUGUUUAAAGCAUUAUUUAAGUGAAAAGAAACUUAUUGCAACAAAUUCCCAUCAAAAUAUAUCACGUUUAAAAUUUUUGCUACAUUGCUCAAAAAUGAGGAAAAUUUUACAUUUUCUCAAACAGGGUAUGGAACUUGGUUCCUCGAAUAACUUCUGGCACAGACAUCUGAGUGCAUGGCUGUCCAAGAAGAAAAUGUAGCCAUUGGUGCCGUCUAUCGACCACAGGUUAAAGAUUGGCGAUCCGUUGGAUACCGACCGAGUUAUAGGCAAAACUUGGUGCAAAAAUGAGGAAAAUUUUACAUUUUCUCAAACAGGGUAAGGAACUUGGUUCCUCGAAUAACUUCUGGCACAGACAUCUGAGGGCAUGGCUGUCCAAGAAGAAAAUGUAGCCAUUGGUGCCAUCUAUCGACCACAGGUUAAAGAUUGGCGAUCCGUUAGAUACCAACAGAGUUAUAGGCAAAACUUGGUGCAAAAAUGAGGAAAAUUUUACAUUUUCUCAAACAGGGUAUGGAACUUGGUUCCUCGAAUAACUUCUGGCACAGACAUCUGAGGGCAUGGCCGUCCAACAAGAAAAUGUAGCCAUUAAUGCCAUCUAUCGACCACAGGUUAAAGAUUGGCGAUCUGUUAGAUACCAACAGAGUUAUAGGCAAAACUUGGUGCAAAAAUGAGGAAAAUUUUACAUUUUCUCAAACAGGGUAUGGAACUUGGUUCCUCGAAUAACUUCUGGCACAGACAUCUGAGGGCAUGGCCGUCCAACAAGAAAAUGUAGCCAUUGGUGCCAUCUAUCGACCACAGGUUAAAGAUUGGCGAUCCGUUGGAUACCGACCGAGUUAUAGGCAAAACUUGGUGCAAAAAUGAAGAAAAUUUUACAUUUUCUCAAACAGGGUAUGGAACUUGGUUCCUCGAACAACUUCUGGCACAGACAUCUGAGGGCAUGGCUGUCCAACAAAAAAAU